rnacentral:pre_miRNA from 1 species
AUUUUGAACGUGAGAAUUGGAGGGAAUCAAACCACAUCAUGUAGUAAAUGGUUUGUUUUCCUCCAAUGUCUCACCUUCAAACU